rnacentral:rRNA from 1 species
AGUCGAACGGAUCCUUCGGGAUUAGUGGCAGACGGGUGAGUAACGCGUGGGAAGCUACCUUGUGGUAGGGGACAACAGUUUGAAAAGACUGCUAAUACCCUAUGAGCCCUAUGGGGGAAAGAUUUAUCGCCAUGAGAUGUGCCCGCGUUAGAUUAGCUAGUUGGUAAGGUAAUGGCUUACCAAGGCGACGAUCUAUAGCUGGUCUGAGAGGAUGAUCAGCCACACUGGGACUGAGACACGGCCCAGACUCCUACGGGAGGCAGCAGUGGGGAAUAUUGGACAAUGGGGGCAACCCUGAUCCAGCCAUGCCGCGUGUGUGAUGACGGCCUUAGGGUUGUAAAGCACUUUCAGCAGUGAAGAUAAUGACAUUAACUGCAGAAGAAGCCCCGGCUAACUUCGUGCCAGCAGCCGCGGUAAUACGAAGGGGGCUAGCGUUGUUCGGAAUCACUGGGCGUAAAGAGUACGUAGGCGGACUGAUAAGUUAGGGGUGAAAUCCCAAGGCUCAACCUUGGAACUGCCUUUGAUACUGUCAGUCUUGAGAUCGAGAGAGGUGAGUGGAACUCCGAGUGUAGAGGUGAAAUUCGUAGAUAUUCGGAAGAACACCAGUGGCGAAGGCGGCUCACUGGCUCGAUACUGACGCUGAG